UGAGAUUGGUGGUUUGCAUGGUAGCA
rnacentral:piRNA from 1 species